rnacentral:tRNA from 1 species
GCUUUAGCUCAGUUGGUAGAGCAUGAGACUCUUAACCUCAAGGUCAUGGGCUUGAGCCCUAGGUUGGGCA